GGGAUUAGGGAAUUCGGUGGGGGAGCUAUCUGCAGUCGAGCGGACAGAAGGGAGCUUGCUCCCGGAUGUUAGCGGCGGACGGGUGAGUAACACGUGGGUAACCUGCCUGUAAGACUGGGAUAACUCCGGGAAACCGGAGCUAAUACCGGAUAGUUCCUUGAACCGCAUGGUUCAAGGAUGAAAGACGGUUUCGGCUGUCACUUACAGAUGGACCCGCGGCGCAUUAGCUAGUUGGUGGGGUAAUGGCUCACCAAGGCGACGAUGCGUAGCCGACCUGAGAGGGUGAUCGGCCACACUGGGACUGAGACACGGCCCAGACUCCUACGGGAGGCAGCAGUAGGGAAUCUUCCGCAAUGGACGAAAGUCUGACGGAGCAACGCCGCGUGAGUGAUGAAGGUUUUCGGAUCGUAAAGCUCUGUUGUUAGGGAAGAACAAGUGCGAGAGUAACUGCUCGCACCUUGACGGUACCUAACCAGAAAGCCACGGCUAACUACGUGCCAGCAGCCGCGGUAAUACGUAGGUGGCAAGCGUUGUCCGGAAUUAUUGGGCGUAAAGGGCUCGCAGGCGGUUUCUUAAGUCUGAUGUGAAAGCCCCCGGCUCAACCGGGGAGGGUCAUUGGAAACUGGGAAACUUGAGUGCAGAAGAGGAGAGUGGAAUUCCACGUGUAGCGGUGAAAUGCGUAGAGAUGUGGAGGAACACCAGUGGCGAAGGCGACUCUCUGGUCUGUAACUGACGCUGAGGAGCGAAAGCGUGGGGAGCGAACAGGAUUAGAUACUCCUGGGUAGUCCACGCCGUAAACGAUGAGUGCUAAGUGUUUAGGGGGGUUUUCGGCUUCUUAGUGCUGCAGCUAACGCAUUAAGCACUCCGCCUGGGGGAGUACGGUCGCAGGACUGAAACUCAAAGGAAUUGACGGGGGCCCGCACAAGCGGUGGAGCAUGUGGUUUAAUUCGAAGCAACGCGAAGACCUUACCAGUCUUGACAUCCUCUGACAACCCUAGAAGAUAGGGCUUUCCCUUCGGGACAGAGUGACAGGUGAUGCAUGCUGUCGUCAGCUCCGUGUCGUGAGAAUGUUGGGUAAGUCCCGCAACGACGCACCCUUUGAUCUAGUGCAGCAUUAGUGGCACUCUAAGGUGACUGCGGUGACAAGCGGAGGAGGGUGGAUGAGUUCAUCAUCAUGCCUUUAUGACCUGGCUACACGGGUCUACAUGACUGGAACAAAGGCUGCGGAAAAACCGCACGAGG
rnacentral:rRNA from 1 species